rnacentral:rRNA from 1 species
AGCAGCCGCGGUAAUUCCAGCUCCAAUAGCGUAUAUUAAAGUUGUUGCAGUUAAAAAGCUCGUAGUUGAAUUUCGGGAUUAGUACGCUGGUCGUGCCUUUGGUACGUACUGGUGUUACUGGUUCCUACCUUCUGAAGAACCGUCAUGUCAUUAAUUUGGUGUGGCGGGGAAUCAGGACUGUUACUUUGAAAAAUUAGAGUGUUUAAAGCAGGCUCGCGCUUGAAUACAUUAGCAUGGAAUAAUGAAAUAGGACGUUUGAUCCUAUUUUGUUGGUUUCUAGGAUUGACGUAAUGAUUAAUAGGGAUAGUUGGGGGCAUUAGUAUUCAAUUGUCAGAGGUGAAAUUCUUGGAUUUAUUGAAGACUAACUACUGCGAAAGCAUUUGCCAAGGAUGUUUUCAUUAAUCAAGAACGAAAGUUAGGGGAUCGAAGACGAUCAGAUACCGUCGUAGUCUUAACCAUAAACUAUGCCGACUAGG